UGGAAAUGUGAUGUUUGUGGGAUCGAGAGCUUGCUGGGAGCGCGGGCGCAGGGAGCGGCGUGCGGCGUGCGGCAUGGCAUCAUACGCAAGGGGCGUGGCGGAGGCGUGUCAUAACAUAUCAGCGCUACUGUUUCAUGUGUCGAUCGAGCUCUGUUGAGAACUGCGCUCUCUCUGUGCUUCACCGGAGUAGACAUAAACAAGUGAUUAAAAGCUAAAGGUUUAGUUUUCUGCAGUAGCAUACGCGCUGUCAGGGCUACAUCGGCAGAUUUUUCUGUGGCUAACAGAGAGGAUAGAUCGCUCUUCUGGGAAGACGUCGAAAAGUAACUAAGCCUCACUCACUCGGCCACAGGUAGCUGUUUCGGCUCUGAAUAUCAAAGUACAGGUCAUGCGGGUGUCUUCGGACGGACAGAGAGCUGUGAUCCAGUGCUGCUGUUACUGCUAGUGACUCCGGUGGACUGAUCGCUUUUGCCGCAAGCUGAGCAGGAACGACGGAAUUAAGCAUGUCCCGAAGAAAGCAGAGCAAACCCCGGCAAAUCAAACUAGCCCUUAACAUCCAGAGGAAACGCUGUGUACGUCGAGCUCGCAGCAUUCUUAAGGACUCCUCUCACCCUGACCAUGGACUGUUUAACCUCCUGCCCUCCGGGAGGCGCUUCAGGAGCCUCCGGACAAGGACCAGCAGAUCCAGGAACAGCUUUUUCCCUACAGCUGUCUCCUUGCUGAACUCUGCCCUCUGACACCCCCCACACCAUACACACAGACUCCUCCCCCACUUCAUCACUACAUCUGACUGAUUUAUUUAUUUAUUUAUUUACAACAAGCAAAAACAGCAAACCUGCUAUUACUUGCACUACUGUCUGUUCAUCCAGGAACACUGAAUAACCCAUUUGCACACUGAAAUAUUUUCUAUGCACUUUACUUUCCAUUGCAAUAGUGUAAAUUGUUCAUAUGUUCAUAGUUCUGCCUAUAGUGUACAUACACUUCACAUAUUUCAUCUGUAUAAUAUGUUCAUAGUACACCUAUCUGUAUAUCAUGCUGAUAGUAUUUAAAAUCUGUAAAUUUUGUCCAUAAUACUUAUCUGUAUAGUUAUUGUACAUAUUGUAGACCUUGUAUAUUCUGUACUUACUGCUUAUUGCACUUCUGGUUAGAUGCUAACUGCAUUUCGUUGCCUUGUACCUUACAUGUGCAGUGACAAUAAAGUUGAAUCUAAUCUAAUCUAAUCUAAAACAU
ensembl:lncRNA